rnacentral:rRNA from 1 species
GAUGCAUUGUUUAAGUCACAUGACUCUCGGCAACGGAUAUCUUGGCUCUCGCAUCGAUGAAGAACGUAGCAAAAUGCGAUACCUGGUGUGAAUUGCAGAAUCCCGUGAACCAUCGAGUUUUUGAACGCAAGUUGCGCCCGAGGCCUUUUGGUCGAGGGCACGUCUGCCUGGGCGUCACGU